rnacentral:lncRNA from 1 species
ACAAGAAGAGUAAGUAAUCCACAAGAUAUACGAGUGAAAUAAGGAGAGUACUUUACUAACUAUUACAAUAGUUGCAUUCUUUACAUUUACAUCAUUUUCCAAAAUGAAUACAUUUGAUCCUCAAAAUACAUAGCUCUCCCAAAUCCUCACCUACAAUGGAUCUCUCUCUCAAUACAUAGGUGAACUAAUGCAAAAAGGAAAGCUACUAGACUACUACGGUCUCACUGGUCGGGCGCGGUGCCCUUGCCGCGAUCCUCUCUCUGCAGCCCUGAACCUACCACUGGAAAUAGAGUGGGGUGAGAACUAUCUUCCAUAGUUCCCAGUGGGCUCGGCCGCCGACUCUGCCGAUCUCCCCACUAGGUCCAAGUGGGCACAAGUAACAACAGAUAGAUAGAUAGAUAGAUAUGUAUCUGAAAGCAGUAAAUGCGAUAGUAGGAAAAACUAUGCUACUAUGCCCAUAAUCAUGAAUAUGAAUGCAUGCAUCAUAUAAUAAAGGUUUGCUACCAUGCUAACAAAUUCGAUCUAUGUUCAAAUAAUAAUGUUCAAUGACAUUUUAAACCUUUAACUUUUCCUUUACCCAAUCUGUGGCGAGGCCCUUGGGCUCGCCCAUGACUCACCUUUCAAUCCCAAAGUGGGGAGGGAGCUCCAAGUGCACCCAAGCCCGGGACCGUCUGCGGACCUCCAUGUGGUCCGAACCUCCAAGUGGUCCUAGUCGCGCGACACUCCGGAGUACUCGACGACAAUCCCCUCCAUGUAGGGAUUGGAUGGCUAUGCCAUCCUAAACGCAGACUGUGAGCUAGAUCUAUCCUCUCCAUGUGAGGAUACACUGUAACUAGGGUCAACACCCAAUCCAAUCCUCUCCAAAUGAGGAGGCUCUACAACUAGAGUCAAUAACCCAAUCGAAUCCUCUCCAAGUGAGGACGCCCUACACUAGGGUCAACGACUAUCGCGAAAUCAUCGAUUCCCGACAUUCAUGCAAUGCUAUUUAGUUUCCUAAAUUCAUUGUUCACAAGGCAUUUUCUAAGGGAUCCACCUAUCCCUAGGUCCAUCGACCUUUAGUGUUAUUUACACUACAUUAAUGCCACUCGUCAUCAUUUAUUAUUCGGAUGCCACUCGUGUUCUUUAACACUAUCCACUACUUCCUAUGUCAUCAAU